UCAUAAGUGGGUUGGUCCCGCACACUAACUCCGGCUCCAUGGGAACCGGGACUUUUUGACGAAGAGCUCGGUUGAACCUCAAAGAGGAGGAAGAUUUGUGACAGCGCACAAGGAAGGACACGGCUGCUCGUUACACGACAGUUCGUGUGGGUAGACCGUGCGUAUCGGCAGUGUGGCGAACCGAACCGCAGCCUCUUCUACAGUUGUUUUUUUGACGGAGAAUUUAUCAUACUCACCUCUACUCAAUGAACCUACAUUGAGCUUAUUAUUUUGUUGUGGUUUUCGGCGUCAAAGCGACAGAGAUGUAAAGCAAGUUAGCCAGCACUACUCCAUCUUCCUCUUCAUUUGAUAUGCAAGCUACUGACAUAACCAGGGGCGCUGAAGUGACAGAGUGCAGCGGAAAAUGGACAUCCGGAGUGGCAUACAAAAGGCAGUGGAGCCCCUCCCUACCUCUCUCCCCUCCUCCCCUCAACAGCCGGAGGACAGCCAGGCAGAGCGGAGCGCCAGGCCCACCGCUGACAACCACAGCAAGGACACCCAGCCAGCCGCCGGCCACCGAGACGACAAAAAAUAUUUCAGUGUGGAGUCGAUUAAUGGGACUAUGUUUCAUGAAGCCACUAGAAGACUGUUGCUGACUGAGAGGAGGGGCUGUCAGGAGAAACAGUUUCACAUCCAAGGCUACAGAUGGAGAGACGGGAGAAGUUCGUCAUAAGGUGGCUGCAGCUUGCACCAGACAGAGACGGACGCAGGAAGGAGAGGACCUAACACAGCAAGGAAAGGGCAGAUAGACCCCGAGAGAAAUAGAUACAUUGACAUACACGCAGACAUACAUGGGAUAAAGGGAGGAACACUGACUCUUUGUACAUUAUCUGGAAAUAAUGGACGACUUGGUACUGCCCGAGUUUAUUAGUUCCAAGUAAUGUACAGAGCAGAGGCGUUUAUCCCGCUUAUUCCACGGUUGCCAAAGAAAACAAGACCACAUUUACUGGUAAAAAUGUACAUGUUUUCUUUGAGAUUAGAAUUUUGAUAAGUAAAUUCAUGCUAUUUCAUCCUUCCAGUUGUGCUAUCGGUUCAGUUGAUAGAGAAGCGGACUUGUUGUUCAUUCUAUUAAUUUGAUUGCUAUGCAGGCUGGCAAUGUUCUUAUCCCUUACUUGCUAGUUGGCCAACUAUGGCUAACCCAGUCGCUUCAACUAUGCACAGAAUAACAUCAAAGUAGCUGCAUUUUGCGUUUUUUUUUAAGCUGUUUUCUAGUGACAUUUAUUUGGAUAUGUCCAUGCUACUGUACAUAUGUAGUACUUGUUGAGGGAUGACACGCACACAAAAGUAAAUUUCAUAUAUUUAAAUAAAAAAGGUA